GUACUCACUUCUGAAGCACUUAUGCUAAAGUUAGAACAACACUGAGAAUAUUAGCACAAUUUCUGAGCAAGGACAGCAGGCAAAUUCAUAAAGUGUCUCACUUUUCA